AAUCAUUCCAGUCAUCAACAAAUGUGCUCCUGGCUAUUUCAUCUAAUGUGUUUGAUCCAUAAGAAGAUAAAGAGAAAUUAGAAGUUCGCAGGAUGCUGUUUAUAGUAGAAUGAGCAAACAUAUAGAAGUUCCCUUCCUGGGUGUGUGAUAUUGUAUCUCAUCAAUGAUAGAUACAAGACCGGGAUAGCGAACAUUUGUCGCUCGAAUUAUUGUGCGGUUCAAUAAUUUACAAUCUAAAUCACUCUGAGCUUUCCUGUAAAGAAGGCAAAGUGACAAAGACAAUGACAUUAAGAGUCGGAAGGAAGUUGACACUGAAAAACUGAAUAUGGUUGAGAAUGUAACACUUGAAACGCAAGGAAGUCAAAAUCUGAAUUCUCAAGUGAAUAUUUUUAUUUAUUACCAGAUAUAGAUUAAUUUCUUUCUUACACCACGAUAUUUGACUGCAACAAUGCUGGAGCACCACCUUCUGUCGAUGAAAUCGAUCCCAGGACUCAUUCUUUGUAAGCUACUACUUAUUCCAUCGGUGUUUGGCCGAACCGCAAAAUUUCGAGGACGUAUGCACACCAUCAUCAGUUGUCAAGUGAUGGUGGGAUUACAAACUCAGACACAG